rnacentral:rRNA from 1 species
GGGUUGUGAGGUUAAGCGAAUAAGCGUACACGGUGGAUGCCUAGGCAAUCAGAGGCGAUGAAGGACGUGCUAAUCUGCGAAAAGCGUCGGUAAGGUGAUAUGAACCGUUAUACCCGACGAUAUCCGAAUGGGGAAACCCAGUAUCCAAUGGAUACUAUCAUUAACUGAAUCCAUAGGUUAAUGAGGCGAACCGGGAGAACUGAAACAUCUCAGUACCCCGAGGAAAAGAAAUCAACCGAGAUUCCCCUAGUAGCGGCGAGCGAACGGGGAGCAGCCCAGAGUCUUAAUCAAUAGCAGUGUCAGGAGAACGGUCUGGAAAGUCCGGCAGUAAAGGGUGAUAGCCCCGUAUCUGAAGAUGCUGUUAUUGUGAACUCGACGAGUAGGGCGGGACACGUGUUAUCCUGUCUGAAUAUGGGGGGACCAUCCUCCAAGGCUAAAUACUCCUGAUUGACCGAUAGUGAACCAGUACCGUGAGGGAAAGGCGAAAAGAACCCCGGCGAGGGGAGUGAAAAAGAACCUGAAACCGUGUACGUACAAGCAGUAGGAGCCUCUUUAUGGGGUGACUGCGUACCUUUUGUAUAAUGGGUCAGCGACUUAUAUUCUGUAGCGAGGUUAACCGUAUAGGGGAGCCGUAGGGAAACCGAGUCUUAACUGGGCGAAUGAGUUGCAGGGUAUAGACCCGAAACCCGGUGAUCUAUCCAUGGGCAGGUUGAAGGUUGGGUAACACUAACUGGAGGACCGAACCGACUAAUGUUGAAAAAUUAGCGGAUGACUUGUGGAUGGGGGUGAAAGGCCAAUCAAACCGGGAGAUAGCUGGUUCUCCCCGAAAGCUAUUUAGGUAGCGCCUCGUGAAUUCAUCUUCGGGGGUAGAGCACUGUUUCGACUAGGGGGUCAUCCCGACUUACCAACUCGAUGCAAACUGCGAAUACCGAAGAAUGUUAUCACGGGAGACACACGGCGGGUGCUAACGUCCGUCGUGAAGAGGGAAACAACCCAGACCGCCAGCUAAGGUCCCAAAGUCAUGGUUAAGUGGGAAACGAAGUGGGAAGGCUCAGACAGCCAGGAUGUUGGCUUAGAAGCAGCCAUCAUUUAAAGAAAGCGUAAUAGCUCACUGGUCGAGUCGGCCCGCGCGGAAGAUGUAACGGGGCUAAACCAUGCACCGAAGCUGCGGCAGCGACACGUAGUGUUGUUGGGUAGGGGAGCGUUCUGUAAGCCUGCGAAGGUGUACUGUGAGGUAUGCUGGAGGUAUCAGAAGUGCGAAUGCUGACAUAAGUAACGAUAAUGCGGGUGAAAACCCGCACGCCGGAAGACCAAGGGUUCCUGUCCAACGUUAAUCGGGGCAGGGUGAGUCGACCCCUAAGGCGAGGCUGAAAAGCGUAGUCGAUGGGAAACGGGUUAAUAUUCCCGUACUGGUGGUAACUGCGAUGGGGGAACGGAGAAGGCUAGGUUGUCCGGGCGACGGUCGUCCCGGUUCAAGCAGGUAGGCAGAGUGAUUAGGCAAAUCCGGUCACUUAAUGCUGAGAUGUGAUGACGAACCACCAAGGUGGUGAAGCAAUUGAUGCCCCGCUUCCAGGAAAAGCCUCUAAGCUUCAGGUUACCAACAAUCGUACCCCAAACCGACACAGGUGGUCAGGUAGAGAAUACUCAGGCGCUUGAGAGAACUCGGGUGAAGGAACUAGGCAAAAUGGUGCCGUAACUUCGGGAGAAGGCACGCUGGCGGUAGGUAAAGUCCUCGCGGACGGCGCUGAAGCCAGUCGAAGAUACCAGCUGGCUGCAACUGUUUAUUAAAAACACAGCACUGUGCAAACACGAAAGUGGACGUAUACGGUGUGACGCCUGCCCGGUGCUGGAAGGUUAAUUGAUGGGGUCAGCCGUAAGGCGAAGCUCCUGAUCGAAGCCCCAGUAAACGGCGGCCGUAACUAUAACGGUCCUAAGGUAGCGAAAUUCCUUGUCGGGUAAGUUCCGACCUGCACGAAUGGCGUAAUGAUGGCCAGGCUGUCUCCACCCGAGACUCAGUGAAAUUGAACUCGCUGUGAAGAUGCAGUGUACCCGCGGCAAGACGGAAAGACCCCGUGAACCUUUACUAUAGCUUGACACUGAACAUUGAGCCUUGAUGUGUAGGAUAGGUGGGAGGCUUUGAAGUGUGGACGCCAGUCUGCAUGGAGCCAACCUUGAAAUACCACCCUUUAACGUUUGAUGUUCUAACCUAGGCCCAUAAACUGGGUCGGGGACCGUGUCUGGUGGGUAGUUUGACUGGGGCGGUCUCCUCCUAAAGAGUAACGGAGGAGCACGAAGGUUGGCUAAGCAUGGUCGGACAUCAUGCGGUUAGUGCAAAGGCAUAAGCCAGCUUGACUGCGAGAGUGACGGCUCGAGCAGGUACGAAAGUAGGUCUUAGUGAUCCGGUGGUUCUGAAUGGAAGGGCCAUCGCUCAACGGAUAAAAGGUACUCCGGGGAUAACAGGCUGAUACCGCCCAAGAGUUCAUAUCGACGGCGGUGUUUGGCACCUCGAUGUCGGCUCAUCACAUCCUGGGGCUGAAGUAGGUCCCAAGGGUAUGGCUGUUCGCCAUUUAAAGUGGUACGCGAGCUGGGUUUAGAACGUCGUGAGACAGUUCGGUCCCUAUCUGCCGUGGGCGUUGGAAGAUUGAGAGGGGUUGCUCCUAGUACGAGAGGACCGGAGUGAACGCACCACUGGUGUUCGGGUUGUCAUGCCAAUGGCAUUGCCCGGUAGCUAAGUGCGGAAGAGAUAACCGCUGAAAGCAUCUAAGCGGGAAACUUGCCUCGAGAUGAGUCUUCCCUGUCGCUUUAAGCGACCUAAAGGAACGUUUAAGACUAAGACGUUGAUAGGCUGGGUGUGUAAGCGUAGCGAUACGUUGAGCUAACCAGUACUAAUGAACCGUGAGGCUUAACCUGACAACACCGAAAGUGUUUUG